AUUGAACGCUGGCGGCAGGCCUAACACAUGCAAGUCGAGCGGCAGCAGAGUACUUGCUCCUGGAUACAGCGGCGGACGGGCGGGUAAUGCCUAGAUACAUGCCUAGCUGCGUGGGCUAGCGUGCGGACGCGGGCGCUCUUACGGCAUUAGUCCAGAGGGCGAACGUGGGAGAUCUUCGGAUCUCCCGCUAUCGGGCGAGCCUAUGUCGGAUUAGCUAGUUGGCGGGGUAAAGGCCUACCAAGGCGACGAUCCGUAGCUGGUCUGAGAGGAUGAUCAGACACACUGGAACUGAGACACGGUCCAGACUCCUACGGGAGGCAGCAGUGGGGAAUAUUGGACAAUGGGCGAAAGCCUGAUCCAGCCAUGCCGCGUGUGUGAAGAAGGUCUUCGGAUUGUAAAGCCCUUUUGUUUGGGAAGAAGAGCAGUAAGUUAAUACCUCGCUGUUCUGACGGUACCAAAAGAAUAAGCACCGGCUAACUUCGUG
rnacentral:rRNA from 1 species